GAAGAUUGGGAAAUUGCUGACUGAAUCUUGCAGUUCUGGUCAAGUCUUGCAGGUUGCAUUCUUGGGCAUGAUUUGAGUGGUGGAGGGGAUAGAAAGAAUAUACAAGAAGUGAACGAUUCUAUGUUUAUUGAUGAUGGAGAAGCUAUUGAUUUGCCUGAUGGCCUUGUUCAAUUUCGGAUGAAUCUUGGUGGAACUUUGCGUUGAUAUCUGUCAGAUUCUAGGCUCUGCUGCAUUCAGGCUAUCUCGAGCUACUGU